rnacentral:rRNA from 1 species
GUCGUCCGAUUAAAUCAGACCGGUCAGGAGGAAACACCCAUGAGGCCUUGACCCACUCCCUCUGGUCCACCACCCACUCCCCGUCCCCUCACUCUCCGUCCCCUCCUUCUUCCUCUGCCUCAAUCCCUGCCGAUGCAUCGCCGGGGACCCCAGCCACCACACCCUGCUAGCCCCUCCAUCCUACCUCUGCCGACCUGUCCCGACCCCCUCCAUUAUCAACCGCCGCCGCGCCGCCCAGACCCGAGCAGCGUCGCGCAACUACCUGUGCUCCUCCCCUAGCGCUACCCCAGCAAUCCCGUCGUGCUCGGGAUGAACGGCAGUGUCACCUUGCGCCAGAUUUGGGCCACCCCGUGCAGGAUCCGCACCGCCAGCAUCAGAUCCCGUGGGUUCUCUUCUCGUACAUGGCGGCCUCCCGCCCCCAGGCCAUGGAUCGCCUACAUGGCUAGCAGGGCCGGUUUUUUGGGGUGGUAGGAGCCCGUCGAUGGAGGGGAACCACGGCCGCCGACAUCGCCGGAACAGCUCCGCUUCUCGUACACCAAUGGAACUGGGGUUCAUUGGGAGAGGGGAUCCAAGGGGACUGGAGUGUUGUAUAGAGCAAUCUGAUUCGGCUGCAGAGCCUCUCUUCCUCCUCUAUCUCCUUCGAAGCAGGGGCGGAGGAGGGUGACGGUCGUUGUCGACGGUGUGCUUAUUCCGGCAAGCGGGAAGGGGGUUCUACAAUAGAAAUCAGUGGUGAGCGUCAUCUAAAUCGUUUUUUUCAUGCGCUUCUCUAAUGAUGCCCCGGGGGAGGUCUGUGAUAGAGUAGUGUCGAUUUCACGGGGGGAAGGGGGCAGCCGGCGAGUGAAUUUUGGUUGCAAGGGACGAGCAUUUCCAUUUUGUCGUAGGUGACAUUUUUAGAGGGAGGGAAUGGGGGUGGAUACAUGUGUGUAUCUGCAGGUGUCGAAAUAAGAAUGGCGAGUUGAUGUCUUCGAUUUGUUUGGCGAUAAGAUUCUACUCGCAAUAGGCAUUAUCUGAACCAGGUGAGUUUUUCUAGAGGGUCGGUGUUGAAAGCUACUAUGAGAGAGGCUACGAGUUGCCUGAUAUGCGUUACCAGUUUGCCUGACUUUUCCCCUUCACACAACUUGCCUGACGCUAGUCAUGUAGGUGUCUGACUUUUUAUCCGUCGAUGCUUCUGAUUUUUGUUGUCUUAGUAUCAUUUUUACUGAAUCAAUGUUUCGCCAGAUUGACUACAGCAAUUGUAUUACUUGCAAAUUUGGUACUACAUACUGAAAUGUUUUUGGAAGCAGCGGCAGCAACAAUUUUUUACUUUUAACUUUUGUACUACAUACUGAAAUGUUUUUUGGAAUAGUGAAAAACAAAAAUGAACGCAGAUUCAUUGGCCGUUCUGGCUGAAAGAUGGGGCACAUCAGCCUCCAGAACCAGCUGAGGUGCUAGAAUUUGACAUGGAGGGGAGGUGCUAAAACAGUAUGCAUGCAUGAUGCAUGUGGUCAUGUUCUUCGUCCACUAAAGUGUGGUACCAUACUAUCAAGUUGCAUAAUCAGUCCAGGGCUGAGUUGCUGGAUGGAGAAAUGAAUCUUGUCUAGUUAUCUUAUUUGUUGUCUAAUUUGUUCAAACAAAGCAAACAGACUGAAAGGCCUGAAUUGUUGACAUGUCCUGCUAUGACCAUCAAAUAGUUUGCUGGUCCUUCUCUGCUUGUUAUGUAGAUUUACUUCUCUUUUUCUGUCCAGACUUCUCUUUUACCGUUUUCACAAAGACUAUCAUGAGUUACCUUACAUGUGCAUAUCUCGUCUAAAACUUUUUUGGUCUACUCUUUUUUCGCUAGCUAGUUGCUUGAGAUGGUUCCAAAACAUGCUAGUAGAGAUAUUUACACAUAAAUAUUUUUUCUUAAAGAAUCAAGAUCGUGCAUGUCGCCGUAUGUGGGAAGGGUGUGGUGUUUCAUUUUUUAGCAUAGGUUCAUAUACCUUUCUUUUAGUCUAGGUUUCACAUAUAUGACUGAAAACUUGUAAAUAUGAGAUUCCCUC